AUUUUUGGUAUAAUUUUAAAUACGAAAAAUGAGAAAAUGUAAAAUUAAUACGUCGUUUUCCCCAAUACCUGUUACUGUAAGAAAUAUUUCUAUACCUGUUAUUUUUGGUAUAAUUUUACAUACGAAAAAUGAGAAAAUGUAAAAUUAAUACCAAAAUUUCGUCGUUUUCCCCAAUACCUGUUACUGUAAGAAAUAUUUCUAUAACUGGUAUUUUUGGUAUAAUUUUACAUACGAAAAAUGAGAAAAUGUAAAAUUAAUAUCAAAAUUUCAUCGUUUUCCCCAAUACCUGUUACUGUAAGAAAUAUUUCUAUACCUGUAAUUUUGGGUAUCCAUAAUUAAUGGUUUCAUUAUAAUUACAGAAAAAAAAAAUAACUUCAGGUUUUAGUUAUAUUUUGCAUAAGAUACGCAUUUUAUAACUACUUAAAUUGCCACAAUUACAGAUAAUUUUCUGCUCUAGACUAAAAUGAAUUUAGAACCGCAAAGUAAUCAGUUAUAUUAUUAAAAAUCAUUCUCAAAAUAAUGAGAUUGCACUCUCGUUCUUUAGUGAAAAUUGUAUUACUAACUGUUAUUUCAGUAACAGGUAUUUAUACCUGUUAUUGGAAAGUAGCAAUAACAGGUAGUAACAGUUAUCCAAAAGUAGCAGUUAAGCCCAUCCCUAUAUGCUACUGGGCAAACUUAUCCGUAUAAGAGCUUAAAGGUACUCAAAUGGCCCAUGAGGCGAAGGAAAGAAGCUAUUUUGGCCUCAAAUCGAACUAUUACAUCCGUAUUGGAUGGCGAUGAAACUACGCCACCAGGUAGUCCCACACCUAAGAAAUACAGAUUCCAAUCGAUUAAAUCAAGCUGCAGGAAGGAAGUAGACGGGGAAUUCGAAUGCAACAGAAAUCUUACCUUCCUUUCCGGUUCCCCAACAUAUUAAAACAAAAAAAUUAGAAAGACAACGACACGUAUAAUUACCACAGGCAAAAAUCGAGACAAACGUUCAGUCGUUUUUGGUUUUCGAAAUUUGUUUUUUUUUUCCUAUUCUUUAAUAUUUUAAUAAAUUUAUUUUUUUAAACCACUUUUUGUAUAUUUUCUCUUUUUUUUCAAUUAUAGUUUAUUUAUGCAUGUAUAACCCUACAUGCCUACAUGGAUAUAAAAUUAUUAUUACAUUAAAUUUCUAGUUGUUUACACAUCUGUAUUUAGAACAUAAACAAAUAUUUUUUUAUUUUUAUCUAAUAUCAAGUCUAGGGCUGCCAGACGUCCCGAUUUCAAGGGGACAGUCCCGACAUUUGGACCCUGUCCCGAUAUCUGUCCCGAUUUACAAACUGUCCCGAUUUUGUCCCGACAUUCCGAUUUCCUUCAAAAACUUUGGGAAAAAAAAAUAAAAAUUUUAAGCAAAAAAGCUUUUAGCUUCAAUUUAUUAACUCUCAAAUAAAAAAAAAAUGGCAAAUCGCAUAGAAUUUUUAAAACUUCUUUUUUUAAAAGGCGACGUUAAAUUUUAUGGAAAUUUGAGAUUGUUGCCUACAUUUAUUAAAAGAUACAUCAAUUGACUUUUUUUUUGAUUAUGGAUAAGGCCCAAUGUAUUGACUAUCCAUUAAGUUUAAAGACGCCAUUAAAAAAUAAAAAUUUUUCAAAUCGCAUACGAAUUUUAAAACUUCCCAUUUUAUAUGGUGACUUUGAAUUUAAUGGAGAGUGAAUAAAUUGGGACUAAGUUUAGUUUUCAAAAAAUUAAAUUUUGAACAAUUCAUAGUUUUGCAUGAAAUCCACAAAAAUGUAGGAAAUAAGUCAAGGAAAAUAUUGCAAUCACACACGUGAUUCUUUUUAUUUGUUUUUAAUAAUUUUCGAUUUCAAGUAAUUUUUUGGUGUCCCGAUUUGUCCCGACUUUUGAGACCUAUUGUCCCGACAUCAAUACAAUUUUAUCUGGCAGCCCUAAUCAAGUCAUGAAUUUCUUUAAGAAGAUAAGUUUAUAUGAAGAUAAACAUGUAUACCUAUAAUACAUACAUAUAUUCACAUACUAAUCAUGUAUAAACUAUUAGCUGUGUUCCUUUGGCCUUAAGUAUCUACUGUUAAGUACUUAUGGUUGUGUUCAACUCCAUUUCUUCUAUAGAAAAAAUGUCUUUGAAUGGAUUCAGAAGUACUAAAAAGUACUUUGCUAGGCCCAAAGGAACACGGCCAUUAUUACUAAUUCAUUAGAAUUACACAAUUUAAGAAUAAAUAAAAAUUCAGUUUUAAAGAAGGACACUGUGUUUUUAUUAAACAGUUUUUAAGAGAAAAUAAUCAUCCUUUUAAGGUUGUCAUUAUUAUCGUUACUAUCUGUUAAAUUAUGUUAUCAUGUGAUAAAUAAAUUUUCCUUACUAUUGUUUAUAUAUAAAUGUUUAUAUGAAAGAAUUUUUAAAAAAAACUCAUUUUGGCUAUUUUCGAGGUUAUGUUUUUAUGUGGGGUAAUUCAUUCUGAAUAAAUUUGUAACGGCGCACGGUUGUCCAAAAUGACUUAUCUCGUUGCAAAAAUCAUAACUUUUGAACGGAUUGAGUUAGCGGUACAAUUUUUUUUUUUAUUUGAAGGACAUUUCUAGGGCUGUUAUACCAAUGAAUUUCAAUAAAAUUAUUUCACAGGGUGUUUCGGAAUCAUCGGCCAAAAACAGAUUUUCUUUAAAAAAAAAGUUUAAAUUAAAAUUGGUAUGCCAUUUUGUAGAAAUCACUAAUCCACAUUUAAAAACAAAAUUUCAAAAAAAUACAAUGUCCCGUUUUCGAAAAUUUAAUUUUUCAAAAAAAAAUUUCAAAAUUUUUUUAAAAAUCCAAAAAUUAUUUUUUUUGAAAUUUUAUUUUUGGCUUAUAUUUGAGUUAUAUAAGUGCUUCUUCACAAAAAGUUUCGUUGAAAUCGAAUAAGCCGUUUUGGAGAAUAUCGGAUUUGAAAAAAAACGGUUUUAUGGCAGGUACCGUAAAAAAUCCAUUCGGUUCCAUUCAUUAAGCCGAAUAGGGUAUGUGUACCAAUCAAUUGUUGAUUCAAAAUAAAAAUAUUUAGCUGCGCAUGCUUGCGCACUGCCGAGAUUUUGUACUUUGAAAAAAAAUGAAGGCAGAAGGAACAGAUUUUCUUUAAAAAAAAUGUUUAAAUUAAAAUUGGUAUGCCAUUUUGUAGAAAUCACUAAUCCACAUCUAAAAACAAAAUUUCAAAAAAAUACAAUGUCCCGUUUUCGAAAAUUUUAUUUUUCAAAAAAAAAUUUCAAAAUUUUUUUAAAAAUCCAAAAAUUAUUUUUUUUGAAAUUUUAUUUUUGGCUUAUAUUUGAGUUAUAUAAGUGCUUCUUCAAAAAAAGUUUCGUUGAAAUCGAAUAAGCCGUUUCGGAGAAUAUCGGAUUUAAAAAAAACCGUUCUAUGGCAGGUACCGUUAAUAAUGAUUUUCCAAAAAAAUUUUUUUCAUUAGAAGAUAGACCUUGUUUUCAAACUUAUAUUUGAAUUUUUUAAACAAAAUCGUUGGAGCCGUUUUUGAGCAAUUACAGCUUUACUGAAAUUGGUGUAUGACAAGUACCGUUAUUUUUGGCCCAAAAAAAUUAAUUCCAAAAACACCUCUGGAGGGUCUCCAAAAAAUGCUACAUACCAAAUUUGAAGUCAAUCGGUCCAUCCGUUUAGGAUGUAGAUCCUUAUACAGACAGACAGACAGACGGACUUCCGGGACCAACUUUUUUGGCAUUCUCUAUAAUCGUAAUAUCAUGGAAAAGUGUAAUCUGAACUUUUUUUAGAUGUGAAUUAGUGAUUUCUACAAAAUGGCAUACCAAUUUUAAUUUAAAUAUUUUUUUUUUUAAGAAAAUCGGUUUUCGGCCGAUGAUUCCUAAACACCCUGUAAAACAAUUUUCUUGAAAUUCAUUGGUGUAACAGCCCUGGAAAUUUCCUUCAAAUUAAAAAAAAAACUGUACCGCUACCUCAAUCCGUUCAAAAGUUAUGAUUUUUGCAACGAGAUAAGUCAUUUUGGACAACAGUGCGGCGUCUAA